CCCUUAGAUGUUCUGGGCCGCACGCGCGCUACACUGAUGCAUUCAACGAGUCUAAAACCGGGUCUGAUAGGGCUGGGUAAUCUUUUGAAUGUGCAUCGUGAUUGGGAUAGAUGAUUGCAAUUCUUCAUCUUCAACGAGGAAUGCCUAGUAAACGCAAGUCAUCAGCUUGCAUUGAUUACGUCCCUGCCCUUUGUACACACCGCCCGUCGCUCCUACCGAUUGAAUGUUCCGAUGAAUACCAUGGACUGAGAGUAUGAAUGGGUUCGCCUAUUUCUGCUUCUCGGGAAGUGGAGUAAAUCUUAACAUUUAGAGGAAGGAGAAGUCGUAACA
rnacentral:rRNA from 1 species